UGGGAAUAUUGGGCAAUGGGCGAAAGCCUGAUCCAGCAAUGCCGCGUGAGUGAUGAAGGCCCUAGGGUUGUAAAGCUCUUUUACCCGGGAUGAUAAUGACAGUACCGGGAGAAUAAGCUCCGGCUAACUUCGUGCCAGCAGCCGCGGUAAUACGAGGGGAGCUAGCGUUGUUCGGAAUUACUGGGCGUAAAGCGCGCGUAGGCGGUUUUUUAAGUCAGAGGUGAAAGCCCGGGGCUCAACCCCGGAAUAGCCUUUGAAACUGGAAAACUAGAAUCUUGGAGAGGUCAGUGGAAUUCCGAGUGUAGAGGUGAAAUUCGUAGAUACUCGGAAGAACACCAGUGGCGAAGGCGACUGACUGGACAAGUAUUGACGCUGAGGUGCGAAAAGCGUGGGGAGCAAACAGGAUUANAUACCCUGGUAGUCCACCGACCGUGAAACGCAUGAUAACUAGCUGUCCGGGCUCAUAGAGCUUAGGGUGGCGCAGCUAAC
rnacentral:rRNA from 1 species